rnacentral:rRNA from 1 species
UACGGAAGAUGCGAGCGUUAUCCGGAUUUAUUGGGUUUAAAGGGUGCGCAGGCGGAGGUGCAAGUCAGCGGUCAAAUUGCGGGGCUCAACCCCGUACUGCCGUUGAAACUGGAGGCCUUGAGUGCACACAGGGAUGCCGGAAUUCAUGGUGUAGCGGUGAAAUGCUUAGAUAUCAUGAAGAACUCCGAUCGCGAAGGCAAGUGUCCGGGGUGCAACUGACGCUGAGGCUCGAAAGUGCGGGUAUCAAACAGG